CCCGCAUGCAGCGCGGAGCCGUCCUCCCGCCACCUCCGGGCCGCCGCGGCACUGAGGGACCCGGGCCACAGCAAGCGCAGGCGGGAACCCGCGCGGGGACUGCUGGGAAACGUAGUCCCGUCAUGUCCCGCUUUGACGCUGCGGAGAAAGCGGUGUAGGGAGAGGCUUGGGCUUCGGUUAUCAUAGAAACAGAGGCCGGCUACACCUAAAAGGCGGGGCGUGGACCUAAGUCGUCGCCAAAGAAACGGCGUUCUGGACGGGGACGUAGGGUCCCGCCCAUUCCUUCUCGUGAAAGCGGGUGACUGGUCAUGAUUAUGAUUGAUAGCCUCCUCUCCCAAUCUGAUUUCUAAGAGGUCCCAACCCGGAACCGACUUGCGGUUCGCAGGCUCCCCUCGGGUGGGAGAGUUGGGCUGGGAAGCACCUGGGGAGCUCUGAAGUGUCUUGGUGAGCGCGUUGCGAGUCAGACCGAUAACAUCAGAAUCUGGGACUGGGCCCGAGCAUAUGCGCGUCAAAACUCCUCAGUUAAGUCUAUUUUUUUGUAUUUUUUUUGGUUUGCUUUUUUGAGACGGGGUCUCGCUCUGUCGCCCAGGCUAAUGCAGUGACACCAUCACGGUUCACUGCAGCCUCGACCUCCUGAGCUCAAGCGAUCCUCCUACUUCAGCCUCCAGAGUAGCUGUUAACAGGGGCGCGCGCCACCACGCCCGGCUAAUUUUCUUUCUUCUCUCCCUCCCCCUCCUUCUCCCCCUCCCUUCCUCCUCCCACUAUGUCGCCCAGGCUGGUCUCGAACUCCUGUACUGAAGCGACCCUCCCACCUCACCCUCCCGAAUAGCUGGGACUAUAGGUGGGAGCCACCAUGCCUGGAUAGUUUUUUUAUUUUUAUUUAUUUAUUUAUUUUAGAGAUAGGGUCUCCAUAUGUUGCCCAGACUGGUCUGGAACUCCUGGGCUCAAGCGAUCCUCGUGUCUCAGCCUUCCAGAGUGCUGGGAGUACAGGCUUGAGCCACUGCGCCAGGCCCCUAGUCCGGCUCCUAGUUGAUUCUAACACGUGCGGCCCCAUUGGGGAACCACAGCCUCCCCAGCCCCUUUGGGUGUUGCUGACUCUACGGGCCCUCCCAGGUAGGAUGAACUGGUCACGCCUCCUACCCAUUUGUAACCCCCAGCUCUUGCCCCCAUCUAUUGUGUGGCUCCUGCCCUCAAUAGGGACAUCUAAUUUUGUUGGCCAGUCCAGCACAUAUAUUGCAUGUAACGACCCAGUUUGCCCCACCUUUCUGCCUCCACUGCAUCUGCUUCAGGGAUGCUGGGACUGUUCCACUCCCUUUCUCCAUCCUUUGGGUGUCUGCACAUCGAAAGCCUUGUCAGGAGGUCUAUCUCCCUGCCCAAGUACAAAACUCAGGGCUUACCAAGCUAAUUGAGGGCGAGCAGGAGGCUGAAGGGCACUUGGAGGGCUGCCCGCCUUGUGGGUCCCUUGGUGGCUGAAGAGAGUUGCACAGGAAGGCCUUGACAAUUGUCACAGAGAAAGGAGUGCAGCUGCUGGCUCUGUGUGGGUGUGCAGAUGUCUGACAGGUUCAGCCACUGGCCCCAAUUGGGACACAAGUGGGAUUUCUUUUUUUUUUUCUUUUUUGAGACAGUCUUGCUCUGUUGCCCAGGCUGGAGUGCAGUGGCCGCGAUCUCAGCUCACUGCAACUUCCGCCUCCCAGGUUCAAGCAGUUCUCUGCCUCAGCCUCCCGAGUAGCUGGGAUUAUAGGUGCCCACGACCUCGCCCGGCUAAUUUUUGUAUUUUUAGUAGAGAUGGGGUUUCACCAUCUUGGCCAGGCUGGUCUUGAAUUCCUGACCUCAUGAUCCACCCGCCUCGGCCUCACAAAGUGCUGGGAUUCAGGCAUGAGCCACUGCACCCGGCCUGACACAAGUAGGAUUUCUCACACCUGUGGAUGCACUGCUACUGGAGGAGUCUUGAGCCUAUGUGGAAGAACUUCCCACUCCCAGGCACAGAAAGGGCCUCCCUCUGGAGUGAAGAUUCUGGUGGUACCACAGGCCUGGCCACCACACAAAGGCCUUGUCCCUGCAGGGCUGGCAUGGGGUGACUGGCAGCCCUGGAGUGGAGUUUGAAGCACCAAUGAAAGGCCUAACCACUUGGCAGGCACAGGUGCGGGGGACUUGUCUGGAGGGGACCGGCUAUGGGGGCUGUGACAGUCUGUAGGCUUUCUUCACUUCUACACAAGCCUGUUGUCUAAGUGGACCCUGCAGGGUUCAUGCAGGGGCAGCACCAGAGAAGCAUCUUGUGACAAUGGUUACACAGGAGCGAUUUCAGGAAUGAGACUGAAUCAGGCAAGGACCUGGAGAGGAAGCUCCAGUGGGGCUCCCACCCAAGGGGUCCAACUUUACCAAUCCCACAGGUCCCCAGUCUGGGGCUCAUUCUAUGUCUGUAGGCCUGGGACCCUGCACCCAGGAGAGUUGUCCUGCUACCGGCCAUCCCUCCGCAGAGGUCCCCCUCUGGCUCUAUGCUGUCUUCAGCAAAGGGCCUCUGCUCCAUUUCACACCUCUCCUGAGGGCCUGGGGUAGCUUACUGCGAAGCAGCCUCAGGGAAUAGAGGCUUCAGCAGGGCAUCUUGGCCCCCAACACAGAAUCCUGGUUGUAGGAUCUGGAAGAACAGAGGAGAAAUGGAAGUUGGCAGUUCCCAGGAGGGGAGAAGGUGCUGGUGAGCCACGAAAGCAAACCCCAGUGGCUGAAGCAUCCUGGAUGACUCGGCCACAUUUCCUUAAGAAUCUUUGUGUGUGUGUGUGUGUGAGACGGAGUCCCAUUCUGUCACCCAGGCUGGAGUGAAGUGGUGCGAUCUUGGCUCACUGCAACCUCCACCGCCCAGGUUCAAGUGAUU
rnacentral:lncRNA from 1 species